rnacentral:rRNA from 1 species
CAGUCGCCGCGGUAAUACGGAGGGUGCAAGCGUUAAUCGGAAUUACUGGGCGUAAAGCGUGCGCAGGCGGUUUUGUAAGACAGAGGUGAAAUCCCCGGGCUCAACCUGGGAACUGCCUUUGUGACUGCAAGGCUAGAGUACGGCAGAGGGGGAUGGAAUUCCGCGUGUAGCAGUGAAAUGCGUAGAUAUGCGGAGGAACACCGAUGGCGAAGGCAAUCCCCUGGGCCUGUACUGACGCUCAUGCACGAAAGCGUGGGGAGCAAACAGGAUUAGAUACCCCGGUAGUCCCUGUCUCUUAUAC